UACGAAGGGGGCUAGCGUUGUUCGGAAUUACUGGGCGUAAAGCGUGCGCAGGCGGCUGCUCAAGUCAGGGGUGAAAGCCCAGAGCUCAACUCUGGAAUUGCCUUUGAGACUGAGUGGCUUGAGUACGGGAGAGGUGAGUGGAAUUCCCAGUGUAGAGGUGAAAUUCGUAGAUAUUGGGAAGAACACCGGUGGCGAAGGCGGCUCACUGGCUCAUUUCUGACGCUCAGGCGCGACAGCGUGGGGAUCAAACAGG
rnacentral:rRNA from 1 species